rnacentral:rRNA from 1 species
UGUACUACGGUAGGGGCGUCUAUAUGGGCGUCGUUAAGUCGACAGGAGGAGAGUGCGGUUGGACUGUGUGGAGGGGAAGGGUAGGGAAGGGAAGGAAGGGCAAUCAAUCAACGGCGAGCGGUGGCGUGGCGUGGCGUGGCGUGGCGUUCUCCUUCCCGUGAGCGGGCGGGAGGAGUGGAACGAAGGCGUCUUUCUAGGUAAACCAACCUGACCGCCACCGAGGGGACGUGUGGCGUCACCAUUUCAGCGCGGGAAAACACACACGCGAACGGAACGGCGGCGCCGUAGGCAGGGCGGGGCACCUAUUGAUCACUAUCUAGACCCUCCGCGUCUAGACUGGCCACCAUAAGAGGAAGGGCAGGGCAGCCGCUCACAAACGACCCUCUUUUAAACAACCCCGGUACCCCUUCUUCCCGUUCACCGACCCGCGGCAGUUCUUCCACAAGUCGGGACUCAGGUUCCUCUUCUUCCUCCUCUUUGACUCCUUCUUUAACCGACGUUCUCUGGGGUCAGGUGGUCUAGAUUGUGGAAGAUGAAGGAACCUUCAGUUACAAAGCUACGGCGGCGGCGGAGGGCGGCAAGGAAGAGGCGUGGUUUGACUCCUCCAAGUCCAGGCACUACAACUCGACCUCGUCCUCGUCCUCGUCUCGUUCGUACACUGGCACCUCCGUCGGGGACUACGAGGACGCGUCUGCAGCCGCCGUAACGGUGGACCACAUAGCUCCCUUCUCGAGCGCCGUUAGUUCUAGGUCUGGCGGAAGUCCCCUAUGGACCGUUCCUCCCGUGAUGCUCGGAACUCCCCGGAACAAUCUAACUUCAGUAACCAGCUCCCAUUAAGCCAGUUCGCAGUUCGACGAUCAUGAGACGCGACAUACGUCUGAGAGCGUGCCCACGUCAGUGUCUAUGCAAGUUCUUCCGACUUCUACAGACUCCUCUUGGUCCGGGAGGUCGCGGUCGAGGACGACUUUGUUCUUAACCUGUCAAACUCCUACCCCCUCGUGACCCUGCUGUGGUGAGUUAGGUUCCUCUUCUAGCUUCGUUCAGACUAUUCGUCCGUUCUCCGACGCUAUUCUUCUCUCUCUCGCGAGCGUAUGCGCAAAAGGGUAGUCACCUUCUCGUCAAGUUCCAGGAGGUUGGGUUACAAACAUCUGGGUUUGUUGGGUGUGACCCCGACCUCGACCGACCUUGCGACCUACCGUCGUUUCGGAAGACUCCGGCCGGCGUGACCUUGGCCGUUCCUUUCGUUGUAACUGGUCCCUAGUCACUUCUCGUGCUCAAACUUGGAACCUCUCCCACUCUAGUGAUUUCGGAAGUUGGCAUCCCCGAGGUUCGGUCUGUUCAGCAGUGGUUGCUGAGGUUUCGACUGGGCGGGUCGAAGGGCCGAUAGGGGAACAUGUGGGUGACGGUUUCACUGUGGUUAUCAACACUUCUUCUUUAGACGAUGAGGCUUCUUGCCCUAAAGUGUCCACCUACUGCUACGUUCCUCGCACGAGUCACACGUCAGACUCGCUGGUUCCGCCGUGUCGUAUCGGUGGAGUUGCCACGCCCUACUGCUCUCGGAGCGUUCGAGAGACAGUCAGGGUUCGAUGUACCGACGGUGUUUUAGACGAUCCCGGUUCAGGGCGGAGGUCCCCAGUGGUGACUAGCUAUCACGUCUCUGCUGUGGUCUCUUUCCUCCGAGACAAUCACAACCCAGUCGGUUCUUCUCCGACAGGAAGGGUCGACCUCCCCACGGGGGGAGCGGUUACUCCGCCGUAAGACCGGGAGGUUUCCACCUCUCGUACCACUUCCUGUAGGGGCUCCGCGGCGUCGGUCUCCGGGACCGCUAGUCGCCAACUCUGUUUGUUCGUUGAGUACGUUCACCCCUGCCCUGAUACCUAAUACGUCUAUAUAUGUGUAAAGUGGGUACUUUUUUUCCAAUUUCAAGAAGCUUAACAACGUAAAACAAAAGUAGGUUAAUAAUAACGCUGAUGUAACAGCCGAAGUAAUCCCCUUCUGAGAGCCACAGCAGACAGACAGGUAAAGUAAACAACGAACGAACACAUUUUGGUAUACCCCAAACAACAAACAUACAUGUGUCCAGAAGAUAAAUACGCUCGUUAUAUAAAGAAGGUACGUACGGAAGGGU